GCAGAGAGAGAGGGGCUUUCCCUGGGACACACGUCUUGCACAUAGCAGCUAAGAGCGCCAGCCAAGCUUCGUCGAUAGCACCAAGGGUCCAGAUGCCAGGAGAGAGACUCCACCCCCAGAGGUGGCUCAAGAGUCCAAGUGAGUCAUGAGGGCUGACCAGCGACCAUAAUGUCCCAGGGUGAAGUGGGAGGCCUGCAGAUGGAGCCCGCUGCAGGGACAGGAACCACAGUGACUCACAGUUGGACCUGGAGGGGAAGUUCCAUCUGCAAAUCCUCUAAAUGGCUCUGGUCCCCGGGUGAGCUCAUCCGCACUGCCGCUGACACUCAGAACCAGGACUGGCUUCUUUCUCCCAGGGCCCGGGUUUUUCACUCUCAAUUAUGGUUAUGGCAGAAACCAACAUUCGAGCCGCAGCACCUCUCCCCUACCCACCACAUACACACACACACAUGAUGGAUGGACCUGGGGAGACAGCGUGUCCUCCUGGAGCGUCAGAGUUUUCAUCUUUAAAAAUAGUCCUUCCUCCUAAUGAUCUCACCACAGAAGCUUUUGGUGCUAUACGGUAGGGAAUGUGACAGUUCUUUAAAAGGAAGUAUGUGAAAUCCACACAAGGCAGUAACAUUGUAAUACCACUGUUUAUAACUUUGGCUCCAGGGACCCGGCCAUGAAGCUACCAUCUUGCUCCAUCUCCCUGGGCCAUUGGUCUGGGAGCAGAAGAUUGCAAGGCACUGGGGAGGAAAGUGUCCACGUUGCCCAGGAGCCUGGCAGGAUCACUCAGAAACAAACUCAACCUUGGGAGAAACACGCAGGGAAAGACCCCACCACUCCCAUUGCCCUUUCCUUCUCUAAGCGUUUCCAGCAGACUGCAAUAUGUCCACAAUUCUAAGGCUUCAUCAGGUAGGAGGGGGUUCUGGUGUGGCCCCCAGCUAGCUCUCCACCAUGUGCAUGAACAGCAAGGUCCCUCAACGAAGCGCACCAGGCAUUCAUUUCCCUUAUAGGUUCUGUUUUCAGAUUACGUGCAGUCACAGGACAGUUGCUAAUCAUCACCAAGACGGGGCCGUCCUGGAAGCAUUCUUAGAAAGACACACUGGUUCUGUGAGCUCUGAAGCACCCUUAGCCUGUCCUGCCUGGAGGAUCAUUGUGGCUGCAGGAAGAGAAAGACAAAAGAGGAAAGACGGCCAAGUUGUCCUUUCUUGGAGGGAGGAGGAAGAUGGGAGGGUGCUAAGAGGCUGCAAGACAACAAGGGGACCCAACAAAGAGCUUCAGGAGACCACGAAGAAUGAUCUCAAGCAGUAUUAGCUGCUCCAUGGCAUGACAAUGUCCCCGUUGGGUGUUCCCUGCACUCUGUACCCCUCAUGCCCUAACACCAUCAGAACAGCAGGAAGAGGGCAUUUGCUGUCUCUCUCUUCCUACCCAUCUUCCCCACUCCAUUUCUUUUUUUUUGCUGCUGGGGCUGCAAUCUGCCAGUGUGAGCCCUGGUGGUUCUGCAGGCAGCAGGGUGAGGAGAGAGACCCUCAUAUGAAGCCACGACCCCAAUGCAAGAGGCUAUCCUGAAUCUGGGAGUCACGGUUGUUGAGGAUCAGUCCCUGAGAUGUGGCACCGUGGCGUUUCACCUCAUCACCACCAUCAAUGUCAUUCUAUGGUAACCUAUGUGUGCCAUUGUGUGCCCAGGACACAAACAGGCACAUUCGAUACCCCUCCUGCUUGGACCCUUCCCCUGCCAUCCCCUCUCCCACUGGCCACCCUGUUGCUCUCAGCUUCCCUGUAAAGAGGACUUUUCACACUGAGUCAGAUGACAGCAUGCUUUGCUCAAAACCCUGCCUGGCUCCCAGGUCCCUCAGAGGGAAGGCCCAAGGCCUCUGGGCCUGACCUGGUCUGAUGGUCACCGCCCCCCUCGGCGCUCAGCACUUACUGAGCUUGAUUCUCAACCACACCAUAUACUCCCGCCUGCUUUGGGCCCCAAUGUACCUGCUCCCUCUGUCCCAAAGGCUCUUCCCCAAAACAUCCUCCUCCAAGUCCAUGCUCAAAUGUCACCUUCUCCAUUCAGCCCUGCAACCUGCCCUCCACCUCUCUCCCUGCACCGCACACUGGAGCUGCCUUUCCUGCCUCUGUAUUGUUUUUUUUUUUUUCCAUAACACUAUCACCUCCUUACAUACUAGAUAAUUUACAUACUUUCUAUUUUUUACUGUUUGGCCUGCCCUACCUUGACAGCCAGUGUGGCUACAGGACAGGAAAGACAAAAGAGGAAUGAUGCCUGACCCAAGGCUUCUCAUCUUUCCUGGCCCCAUGAUAUGGUCUGGCUCUGUCCCUACUCAAAUCUCAUCUUGAAUUGUAGCUCCUAUAACUCCCAGUGUUGUGGGAGAGACCUGGUGGGAGUUAAUUGAAUCAUGGGGGCAGUUUCCCCCAUCCUGUUCUCAUGGUAGUGAAUAAGCCUCACGAGAUCUGAAGGUUUUAUAAGGGGAAAUCCCUUUUGCUUGGUUCUCAUUCUCUAUUGCCUGCCACCACAUAAGACAUGCCUUUCACCUUCCACCAUGAUUGUGAGGCCUCCCCAGCCAUGCGGGGGAGGUAUGUCUGUAUCAGCAGCAUGAAAAUAGACUAAUAUACCCCAUUAGAAGCCAAACUCCAUGCCAGCAGAACGGAGCCUGUUUUGUUCAGUGUCUGUUCUCUGCCUAGAGCAGUGCCAGCAAACAGUGAGUGUCCCAUAAAUAUCUACUAGGUGAGUGAAUGAAUGAAUGAACCGAUGAACAAGUGAAGGGUGGAAUUACUGCCACUCACGGGGAGGAGGCUAUGCAUCUCAUGGAAUGAGCUGGUCUUCAGGGUGGGGUUCCCUGGGGAGUGGGGGCAGAGGGCUGGCAAAGGCAGAAAGUGCUGCUUCCAGAAAGGCAGUGCCUGCAGUUUGCCUGGAAAUCCCCUUAGCAUCACUCAUUAACUAACCCCCACGCCAAUACACAUCCAAACCCAAACAGUAGCUGAAGAGUAACUUCAACCAUAGACUCUCUUUCCAGGCUGACGCUCCCACUGGUGAGUACAUGCCAUCAUCUGGGCACCUACUGCGUGCUCCUUGGAUCCCAGGAUGAGCAGUGAAGAAAGGAUGGCGGGGGAUGAAAGAGAUCCCCUCCCACCCUCAUCCCACUCUCAAGGCACUAGCUGGAAGGCAGAGCCAGCACUGCAGGUGAAGCUCUGAAGCACCCACCGAGACAGCCAGAAACCUCUAAUUCCGCCUAGAAAAAUAAGGGAAGAGUUACACCAGGAGGCAAGAUAAUGAAACUCAUCUUGAAGCUUAAAUGUGGAUGGAGUGGUUCUUCAGUGCCAGACAGCUCCCCGCAAGCACAUAGGAGUUUAAUAGCUGUUUAUUCUUCCAUAUAGACUAAAACUACAUUCAUCAGAAAAAGGGCAGUAAUUCAUUUCCUAUUCCAAUUAUGGAUACGGCAAACUGAAGAACAUUUUCAAAGAAAUACAGUUUAUUAUGAUCACAAACUUGACCUAGAAUAAACUAAGAUGUAAAUGGA